rnacentral:rRNA from 1 species
CAACCUGCGGAGGGAUCAUUACACAAAUAUGAAGGCGGGCUGGAACCUCUCGGGGUUACAGCCUUGCUGAAUUAUUCACCCUUGUCUUUUGCGUACUUCUUGUUUCCUUGGUGGGUUCGCCCACCACUAGGACAAACAUAAACCUUUUGUAAUUGCAAUCAGCGUCAGUAACAAAUUAAUAAUUACAACUUUCAACAACGGAUCUCUUGGUUCUGGCAUCGAUGAAGAACGCAGCGAAAUGCGAUAAGUAGUGUGAAUUGCAGAAUUCAGUGAAUCAUCGAAUCUUUGAACGCACAUUGCGCCCUUUGGUAUUCCAAAGGGCAUGCCUGUUCGAGCGUCAUUUGUACCCUCAAGCUUUGCUUGGUGUUGGGCGUCUUGUCUCUAGCUUUGCUGGAGACUCGCCUUAAAGUAAUUGGCAGCCGGCCUACUGGUUUCGGAGCGCAGCACAAGUCGCACUCUCUAUCAGCAAAGGUCUAGCAUCCAUUAAGCCUUUUUUUCAACUUUUGACCUCGGAUCAGGUAGGGAUACCCGCUGAACUUAAGCAUAUCAACC